rnacentral:lncRNA from 1 species
GGUGCGGACUCCCGAACGCACCUCAAAACCAUAGGGAGGGUCCGGGUGGGCGUCUGUCCAUGGUGGUGGCUCCGGCGCGGGACGUGGACCCCACUCAAUCAAUGUCUUAGUCCCCUCUCCUCGCGUCCUUGGAUAGUCCACCCUCGCCGCCGACCAUGGCCUAGUAGUCCUCACCCAGAACCCCACUGGACUGAGGGGCAGCUCGGGACUGAGGGGCAGCUCGGGACUGAGGGGCAGCUCGGGACUGAGGGGCAGCUCGGGACUGAGGGGCAGCUCGGGACUGAGGGGCAGCUCGGGAGUGAGAGGAAGCUCAGGCAGGUUGAUGAAUCUACCAGAUCCUGGCUGGCUGGUGGUUUCGGCAGAUCCUGGCUGACUGGCAGAUCCUGGCUGACUGGCGGAUCUGGCAGAUCCUGGCCGACUGGCGGAUCCUGGCCGACUGGUGGAUCCUGGCCGACUGGCGGAUCCUGGCCGACUGGCGGAUCCUGGCCGACUGGCAGUUCUGGCAGAUCCCGGCCGACUGGCGGAUCUGGAAGAGUCUGGUUGACUGGCAGAUCUGGAAGAGUCUGGUUGACUGGCAGAUCUGGAAGAGUCUGGUUGACUGGCAGAUCUGGAAGAGUCUGGUUGACUGGCAGAUCUGGAAGAGUCUGGUUGACUGGCAGAUCUGGAAGAGUCUGGUUGACUGGCAGAUCUGGAAGAGUCUGGUUGACUGGCAGAUCUGGAAGAGUCUGGUUGACUGGCAGAUCUGGAAGAGUCUGGUUGACUGGCAGAUCUGGAAGAGUCUGGUUGACUGGCAGAUCUGGAAGAGUCUGGUUGACUGGCAGAUCUGGAAGAGUCUGGUUGACUGGAAGAGUCUGGUUGACUGGCAGAUCUGGAAGAGUCUGGUUGACUGGAAGAGUCUGGUCGACUGGCAGAUCUGGAAGAGUCUGGUCGACUGGCAGAUCUGGAAGAGUCUGGUCGACUGGCAGAUCUGGAAGAGUCUGGUCGACUGGCAGAUCUGGAAGAGUCUGGUCGACUGGCAGAUCUGGAAGAGUCUGGUCGACUGGCAGAUCUGGAAGAGUCUGGUCGACUGGCAGAUCUGGAAGAGUCUGGUCGACUGGCAGAUCUGGAAGAGUCUGGUCGACUGGCAGAUCUGGAAGAGUCUGGUCGACUGGCAGAUCUGGAAGAGUCUGGUCGACUGGCAGAUCUGGAAGAGUCUGGUUGACUGGCAGAUCUGGAAGCUCCAUGCUGACUGGCUGCUCUGGUUGCUCCAUGUUGACUGGCGGCUCUGGCUGCUCCAUGCUGACUGGCGGCCCUGGCUGCUCCAUGCUGACUGGCGGCCCUGGCUGCUCCAUGCUGACUGGCGGCUCUGGCUGCUCCAUGCUGACUGGCGGCUCUGGCUGCUCCAUGCUGACUGGCGGCUCUGGCUGCUCCAUGCAGACUGGCAGCUCCUUGCAGACUGGCAGCUCUGGCAGCUCCUUGCAGACUGGCAGCUUUGGCGGCAUCCUUCAGACUGGCAGCUCUGGCGGCUCCUUGCAGACUGGCAGCUCCUUGCAGACUGGCAGCUCUGAACAGGCGGGAGACUCCGGCAGCGCUGUAGAGGAGGAAGGCUCUAACAGCACUAGACAGGCGGGAGACUCCGACAGCGCUGGAGAGUAG